GGACACAUAGCAGCCACGUCGGCAUAAGCGAGUACCGCGGGGUUGCUGUUGUGCAUUCUCAGGGUUUUUUUUACCGCAAAAGCGCCAUUCUGGUUGAUAUGCCUUCUGAUUUCUGGGAAUGGGAGUCAGAAUACAUGGGAUAUUUGAAGUCAAUUUGGGGUUCCAAUUUGGUUUCUGUAUCCUGGAGAUGAAGGGUUUAUGGGAGCACAAGGAGAGAAGAACAUCACUUUUGCGAAAAAAAACCCCUGAGAAAGCACCACAUCAACCCGUGGCCCUGGCUUAUGCCGACGUGGCUACCACAUGUCCAA